UUGGUUGGUGUGGUGAUCAUUUGAUACGUGUGCCUUUCCUUUGUGGAUAUCUUCAUAAUUUCAAGUAUCAUUUUUAUUUACUACAUUCAGUUUCAACAUUUUAUGCUAUAUUUAUGGAUUUCCCAUCUGUAGCACGUAGGACUAGAGUAGGUUCUUCAUUAUUGGGCAGGCGCAAAGCGGGAAGUGUGACAAUCAUUUAGUUUGCAUUGUGCGUUUUGUGCCAUUAUUCAUUUCAAUUAGUGCAACAGUUUAUUUGAUCGAAAGAAAAGGUCCACAAAAAACGUGAAUCUUUAAGAUUUUGUGUACCACUUAAAGAGAAUCAGCAUUAUGGUUGUCCUUCCAGGAGGAAAAUGACUUGACGGUCAAUGCCAGGGUUAUAUUAUGGUGGGCAUCACACAGAUUACAUAUAAGCUAUGUUUACAUAGCAUUUUGAGAAUUUGUCAUAUUAGGGUGAAAUAGUUUUGAUUAUUUUUGUUAAUUUAGAUUUUGCUUUAGAUUUUGCAUUUAGACUGAAUGAGAGCCAUCCGUUUGAGUUCCAGGAAAAAGAAAAGGCCAACACCACCAACACGGUCAACAAAGUUCUUUGUUUGUUAACCUGUUGGCUGCUACCACUUCAAUCCCCAGCCCUAUAUCCUUGGAAUGGGCCCACUUUUAUUUUGAGGUUAAUCCUGCGCCGCUAUUCCAUGGACGGGAUCCAUUGGUGGAAACUGACGAGAGAUCAGUGAUGACUGACUAACGUGCUGACAUUCAGCAAUACAGCUCACAUGCGUGCCAUCCUUCCGUCGCUUCGAGGCAUGGUUGUGCCUGCUCCAGCGUAAUUCGACUAACCAACCGGCGGCUUGUCAACUCACCCCUCGCUGACUCCUACUACCCUUGUGCUCUCGUCUCUCAACACAGCACGGGGUUUGAUCCUUAAAUCGUUUAGAUCUGUUUGUGAUCUGUGAUGGCGGUAUCUUGAGGACGACGAUGAUGUUCCUUAAUUUGCAUGACAGACUUGAUGAGAAGUAAUGUCCUUUCAAGAGAGUCAACAAGGUCCUUGUUUGCUAACCCAAUGGCUGCUACCCUUGAAUUUCCCUUUUUAAUUCCUUAAACGGGCUCUGUUGAUUUGAGGGUAAUCCUGUGCUACUUAUCGAGGACUUCAUAGAAUGCUGAACACCGACGAGAGCAUGUCGUCAUUCAAGACUGAUAAAUUGUGUAGUUAUUUACAAGUGCAUAUCUGGGCUCCCUUCUUUUCUGUGGCCCCGUUUCCCUAUCUAACCACUAAUCAACGCCCGCCGGUGGUCACUCACCCGCUGUGA